AGAGUUUGAUCCUGGCUCAGGAUGAACGCUGGCGGCGUGCCUAACACAUGCAAGUCGAACGAGAACCCAUUCUUCGGAUUGGGGGACAGUGGCGGACGGGUGAGUAACGCGUUGGUGACCUGCCCCGAAGCGGGGGACAACUACGGGAAACCGUGGCUAAUACCGCAUAUGCUCUAGGGGGUUAGAUGCCCCUAGAGUAAAACUCCGGUGCUUCGGGAGGGGCCUGCGACCUAUCAGCUAGUUGGUGGGGUAAUAGCCUACCAAGGCUAAGACGGGUAGGGGGCGUGAGAGCGUGGCCCCCCACAAUGGAACUGAGACACGGUCCAUACUCCUACGGGAGGCAGCAGUGAGGGAUAUUGCGCAAUGGGGGAAACCCUGACGCAGCAACGCCGCGUGGGUGAUGAAGGCCUUCGGGUCGUAAAACCCUUUUCUGGGGGAAGAGAAAGGACGGUACCUCAGGAAUAAGUCCCGGCUAACUACGUGCCAGCAGCCGCGGUAAAACGUAGGGGGCAAGCGUUAUCCGGAUUUACUGGGCGUAAAGCGCGUGCAGGCGGCUUGGUAGGUUGGACGUGAAAGCUCUCGGCUCAACUGAGAGAGGCCGUUCAAUACCGCCAGGCUCGAGGUCGGAAGGGGGGAGUGGAAUUCCCGGUGUAGUGGUGGAAUGCGUAGAUAUCGGGAGGAACACCCGUGGCGAAGGCGGCUCCCUGGUCCGUACCUGACGCUAAGGCGCGAAAGCGUGGGGAGCGAACGGGAUUAGAUACCCCGGUAGUCCACGCUGUAAACGAUGGAUGCUAGGUGUAGGUGGUAUUGACCCCAUCUGUGCCGUAGCUAACGCGAUAAGCAUCCCGCCUGGGGACUACGGCCGCAAGGUUAAAACUCAAAGGAAUUGACGGGGGCCCGCACAAGCAGCGGAGCGUGUGGUUUAAUUCGAUGCUACGCGAAGAACCUUACCUGGGCUUGACAUGCACGUAGUAGUGAAGCGAAAGUGGACGACCCUUUCGGGGAGCGGUGCCACAGGUGCUGCAUGCUGUCGUCAGCUCGUGUCGGGAGAUGUUGGGUAGUCCGCACGAGCGCAUCCCUCGCUGUAGUUAUACCUGUCUACCGGGACUGCGAUAAACGAGAGGUGGAUGACGUCAGUCACAUGCUUAUGUCCAGCUAACACACGCUUACAAUGUCGUCAGAUGGGGCGUGUCCACACC
rnacentral:rRNA from 1 species